GCGAGAGUAUCCACUGAGCUUUCAAUAGCACUGUGACACAUAUACGUCAAUACGUGUUUCUCUGGAACAUGAGAUACGGGGGAGUUUUCCAACGAAGAAACUACGCAUGGGUCGAGAUGGGAGUAGACCGUAAGAAGACAUUCGACUAGUGAAGAAGAUUUUUCUUGUUUUUUUCUCCGGUUCAAUCUAUUGCCAAAAAUUCCUGCUGUCACCUUCAAUUUGAAUAAACGACACCCCUUUUUACAUUUACUUCCUCUGUCAUAAAAUACAAGGUAUCAAAAAUUCAAGAAUUAUCCUAAAAUAUAAGUUAUUUUGAAUUGCUCAAUUCUAUCUAAUAUCCAUGUAUCUUUUAAACGCCAUCAACACAUGUCUUUUAAGCACAAAAAAUGACUCUUAUAAUUGGUAGUCAAAAUCAAUAACAUGUCUGCAUGUCUUUUUAAACUAUGCAUUACAAGGAAAUUAAGCAAGUUGAUAACAAAGUCCUUCUUUGAUUAUAAAAUUGUUUCGAUACCUUAUAUUUUAGUUCCUCUGUCCUGUGUAAUAUAGUGUAUUUUAAAAAAUUUAAGACAACUUAAGGUAAUCCUCAAAUGACACAUAUAUCCACGAGAUUAAAACCAAUUAAGAUGUUUUUUUUCCUUAAAGUAUGGUUUCCUUUUUAACAUCUGGGGAUACAAAUUAAGUGGGUCUUGGCAUUUGGUUCCAGCAAAAAGUACAAAAGUGAUGUGGUUUCUCCAACUUCCGUCCUCUUCUCUUUUUUAUUUUCUAAAGGGCACGGCGAAAACAUUUCAAAAGGGCAUCCACUGAACUUCCAAUGCCACUAUCACACAUUACACUCUGAUGAAACAUUAGAAAUAGGAGAAUUUUCCAAUGAAGAAACCUCUCAUGGGUCGAGAUGGAUGUAGAAAGAAGACAUUUUGUAGCAAAGGAGAUUUUCUUGUUUUUUUUUUCUCUAUUGACGAUUUUCUUUGUACUCAAUUUAUCAGGCUAAGUCUACUGCUGAAAUUCCUGCUGUCACCUUCAAAUAAGCACUGCUCUUCACAGUCGUGCAUACUUCUUCGUAUACUAGUUGAUACAAUUAUUACAUCUUAAUGUUUCCUAAAUCAAAAUUUUCUAAUAUAUAUAUAUAUAUAUAUAAAUAUAUAUAUAUAUAGCCCACCAUUUAUAUUGUAAAUUUGUAUGCUUUUAAUAUUGGUUCGGUUGAUCCAAUAAUACUCUCUUUUCUUUUACAUGUCACAUUAGAUUCUAACUCAAAUACUAUUAUCUUUGACCAAAUAUUUUUUAAAAAAGAAAUAUAGUUUCACAACAUAUGAAUUACAUAUUAUGAAAGUAUUUCUCAUAGUGAAUUUACAUAAUCUUAUGACAUGAAUCUAUAUAAUUGUUUUAAAACUAAUGAUCAAAGUUAAAUAUGUUUGACUUAGCAUAAAGCUAAUCCGGCAUCUAAUAAAAAACAGAGGGAGUACAAGAUGGGAAACAUCGUUGACGUUUGUGUGCGUUCCAAUAAGCAACCAUUAACCUAGAACCACAACAGGCAAGCUUCGCUUUUCCUCGGCUAUGAGAACACAAACAUAUACAACAUCUCAUUUAAUUACUUAGACCAGUAGCAUAAUCCAAGCAACGGUGUUUGUUGUUAGCAGGAAUCCUCCGUAGGAAUACGUGUACAAACAAGAAAUCUAUAGUGUCCGACCUCCAAUAACAUAAUCUCCCAGUGGUACAAGAACUUUGCAUUGUCAUUUGCGACGGCGGCGGCGUGUAGCCACAAUCACGACGUUAAUGGAUCCAAUCAAAAUGCUCAUGUCACAAAAACAAAUAUUCGUGAAAAGCAUAGCUUUCAAACUAAUAUAUUAAGGGGGUGUUUG
rnacentral:lncRNA from 1 species